AGUGAACGCUGGCGGCGUGCCUAAUACAUGCAAGUCGAACGAAGUGGCGCACGGGUGAGUAAUAUAUAGUUAAUCUGCCCUACACAGAGGAACAACAGUUGGAAACGGCUGCUAAUACCUCAUAGUGUAGGAUGAGACUAAAUCGUAUCAGCUAGUUGGUAAGGUAAUGGCUUACCAAGGCUAUGACGCGUAACUGGUCUGAGAGGAUGAUCAGUAACAUUGGAAGUGAGGCACGAGGCAAACUCCUACGGGAAGCAGCAGUAAGGAAUAUUGCGCACUGGGGGAAACCCUUAAGGAGCAUCGCCGCGUGAAGGAUGACACUUUUCGGAGCGUCAACUCCUUUUAUCAGGAAACCGGUACCUGAUGAAUAAGCACCGGCUAACUCCGUGCCAGCAGCCGCGGUAAUUC
rnacentral:rRNA from 1 species